rnacentral:tRNA from 1 species
AAUAGGAUGGCCGAGCGACAGGCAGAAGACUGUAAAUCUUCCAACGAAAAAAUUUUUCUCCUAUUA